CCCAUCAUCCUAGCCUGUUAUCUGUGAUAAAGCACAUUGAAGUUAGGUAUGGAAUGCAUCCUUAUCAUUGCAGGCUUCUUACACAUGAAUGCUACUACACCUCCAUCUCCAUCUCCCACAACCUAGGUAACAGCUUUGAGACUCAAUAAAAGUUGAAUCCCAGAACACCCUGAAUGAUGUAGGCUAUGGGGCCACAUAAAACUUUGUCCAGGGUUACAUAGCACGACAACUUUAAACUAAAAAACCACCAUUUUUCAAUGAUAACUCCAGGUUGUACUACACAUUAGUGUCACCAAAGGAUUACUACAAGUAGAAGCACCAUUUUUUGAUGAAAAAAACCUUCAGGAAAGUAUAUUAAAUGUAACAUGUAGUGUACCAAAGGAUGACAAGUAAGGUUUUUACAUACAGUACAUACGUAUAACUUUUUUUUAUUAGGAAUUUCUAACUAAGUUUGAUUACAUGUUAUAAACCACUGUAUGGUAUAUUAUACAUGACUUAACUUAGAUAAUUUUUUGGUACAUUCCAGAAUGCCAGAACCCCCUGAAUGAUGUAGGCUAUGGGGCCACAUAAAAUUUUGUCCAGGGUUACAUACAUAGCACGACAACUUUAAACUACUAAAAAAUCCCAGAACCCCCUGAAUGAUGUAGGCUAUGGGGCCACAUAAAACUUUGUCCAGGGUUACAUAGCACGACAACUUUAAACUAAAAAAACAACAAUAGUGUAUUUAAAUCACUCCAACAUGUAGUACACAUUAGUGUCACCAAAGGAUUACUACAAGAAUCUGCAUGUAUAGUGUCACCAGAGGAUUACAAUAAAGUUUAUACCUUCAAGAACCAUCCUUUUUGCAUUGAAAUAACCCCAGGUUGUGCAUAAAACGUACAUUAAACAACAUGCAUUGUACACAUAAGGAUUACAAGUAAGGUUUUUAUAACUUUUUAUUAGUUUAAGA